rnacentral:rRNA from 1 species
AGUGAACGCUGGCGGUAGGCCCAACACAUGCAAGUCGAACGGCAGCACAGUAAGAGCUUGCUCUUACGGGUGGCGAGUGGCGGACGGGUGAGGAAUACAUCGGAAUCUACUUUUUCGUGGGGGAUAACGUAGGGAAACUUACGCUAAUACCGCAUACGACCUACGGGUGAAAGCAGGGGAUCUUCGGACCUUGCGCGAUUGAAUGAGCCGAUGUCGGAUUAGCUAGUUGGCGGGGUAAAGGCCCACCAAGGCGACGAUCCGUAGCUGGUCUGAGAGGAUGAUCAGCCACACUGGAACUGAGACACGGUCCAGACUCCUACGGGAGGCAGCAGUGGGGAAUAUUGGACAAUGGGCGCAAGCCUGAUCCAGCCAUACCGCGUGGGUGAAGAAGGCCUUCGGGUUGUAAAGCCCUUUUGUUGGGAAAGAAAAGCAGCAGGUUAAUACCCCGCUGUUCUGACGGUACCCAAAGAAUAAGCGCCGGCUAACUUCGUG